UUUUAACGCUGAGGUGUGAUGACGAGGCACUACGGUGCUGAAGUAACAAAUGCCCUGCUUCCAGGAAAAGCCUCUAAGCAUCAGGUAACAUCAAAUCGUACCCCAAACCGACACAGGUGGUCAGGUAGAGAAUACCAAGGCGCUUGAGAGAACUCGGGUGAAGGAACUAGGCAAAAUGGUGCCGUAACUUCGGGAGAAGGCACGCUGAUAUGUAGGUGAAGCCCCUGCGGGUGGAGCUGAAAUCAGUCGAAGAUACCAGCUGGCUGCAACUGUUUAUUAAAAACACAGCACUGUGCAAACACGAAAGUGGACGUAUACGGUGUGACGCCUGCCCGGUGCCGGAAGGUUAAUUGAUGGGGUUAGCGGCAACGCGAAGCUCUUGAUCGAAGCCCCGGUAAACGGCGGCCGUAACUAUAACGGUCCUAAGGUAGCGAAAUUCCUUGUCGGGUAAGUUCCGACCUGCACGAAUGGCGUAAUGAUGGCCAGGCUGUCUCCACCCGAGACUCAGUGAAAUUGAACUCGCUGUGAAGAUGCAGUGUACCCGCGGCAAGACGGAAAGACCCCGUGAACCUUUACUAUAGCUUGACACUGAACACUGGUCCUUGAUGUGUAGGAUAGGUGGGAGGCUUUGAAGUGUGGACGCCAGUCUGCAUGGAGCCGUCCUUGAAAUACCACCCUUUAAUGGCUGGUGUUCUAACGUAGACCCGUGAUCCGGGUUGCGGACAGUGUCUGGUGGGUAGUUUGACUGGGGCGGUCUCCUCCCAAAGAGUAACGGAGGAGCACGAAGGUUAGCUAAUCCUGGUCGGACAUCAGGAGGUUAGUGCAAUGGCAUAAGCUAGCUUGACUGCGAGAGUGACGGCUCGAGCAGGUGCGAAAGCAGGUCAUAGUGAUCCGGUGGUUCUGAAUGGAAGGGCCAUCGCUCAACGGAUAAAAGGUACUCCGGGGAUAACAGGCUGAUACCGCCCAAGAGUUCAUAUCGACGGCGGUGUUUGGCACCUCGAUGUCGGCUCAUCACAUCCUGGGGCUGAAGUAGGUCCCAAGGGUAUGGCUGUUCGCCAUUUAAAGUGGUACGCGAGCUGGGUUUAGAACGUCGUGAGACAGUUCGGUCCCUAUCUGCCGUGGGCGCUGGAGAAUUGAGGGGGGCUGCUCCUAGUACGAGAGGACCGGAGUGGACGCAUCACUGGUGUUCGGGUUGUCAUGCCAAUGGCACUGCCCGGUAGCUAAAUGCGGAAAAGAUAAGUGCUGAAAGCAUCUAAGCACGAAACUUGCCCCGAGAUGAGUUCUCCCUGAGACUUUAAGUCUCCUGAAGGAACGUUGAAGACGACGACGUUGAUAGGUCGGGUGUGUAAGCGCAGCGAUGCGUUGAGCUAACCGAUACUAAUGAACCGUGAGGCUUAACCUU
rnacentral:rRNA from 1 species